GGAGGAGUGACUCAGUGGUAGAGUGUGCCCCUGACCCUGGCCAGAAUGAGGUCCUGGGUUCGAUUCCUGCCUCCACCA
rnacentral:tRNA from 1 species